CCUACGGGGGGCAGCAGUGGGGAAUAUUGGACAAUGGGGGGAACCCUGAUCCAGCCAUGCCGCGUGUGUGAAGAAGGCCCUCGGGUUGUAAAGCACUUUCAGUGAGGAAGAACGCCUGGUGGUUAAUACCCAUCAGGAAAGACAUCACUCACAGAAGAAGCACCGGCUAACUCCGUUCCAGCAGCCGCGGUAAUACGGAGGGUGCGAGCGUUAAUCGGAAUUACUGGGCGUAAAGCGCGCGUAGGUGGCUUGAUAAGCCGGUUGUGAAAGCCCCGGGCUCAACCUGGGAACGGCAUCCGGAACUGUCAAGCUAGAGUGCAGGAGAGGAAGGUAGAAUUCCCGGUGUAGCGGUGAAAUGCGUAGAGAUCGGGAGGAAUACCAGUGGCGAAGGCGGCCUUCUGGACUGACACUGACACUGAGGUGCGAAAGCGUGGGUAGCAAACAGGAUUAGAUACCCCAGUAGUC
rnacentral:rRNA from 1 species